GCCGGCGUAGCUCAGUUGGCAGAGCAGCUGUUUUGUAAACAGCAGGUCGUGGGUUCAAGUCCCUCCGCCGGCU
rnacentral:tRNA from 1 species